AAACUUUCAACAACGGAUCUCUUGGUUCUGGCAUCGAUGAAGAACGCAGCGAAAUGCGAUAAGUAAUGUGAAUUGCAGAAUUCAGUGAAUCAUCGAAUCUUUGAACGCACAUUGCGCCCCUUGGUAUCCCGAGGGGCAUGCCUGUUCGAGCGUCAUUU
rnacentral:rRNA from 1 species